rnacentral:tRNA from 1 species
UCCCCGGUGGUCCAGUGGUUAGGACUUGGUGCUUUCAGUACCAUGGUUCUAGGUUCGAUCCCUUAUUCGAGAA